ACAAAACAAAACUCGUGGGGGCAUGGGACCUCUGGAUUAUACUAUACUAUAGUAAAGUAUAUUAUAAUAUAUAGAGAUACACUACUGUUACUGUAUGUAGUAUCAAUAUAUAUAUAUAUCACCUACAUAACAGUGUGGUAGGGGGUGAGAUGAGAGAGAGAAUGUCUAUGGCAGAACAGAGGCGGUGGUGGGUGAGAGAGAGAUGAUAAGACACAAGAGAGAAG
rnacentral:lncRNA from 1 species